rnacentral:sRNA from 2 species
UACAAUUGAACGGCUUGCUCAAGGGCGUCUGGCUCAUCCCCGAUAGGAAGGGGGUGAUGCUCAUGUCAACAUUCCAAGCACUGAUGUUAAUGCUUGCUUUCGGGUCAUUUAUCAUUGCCCUGUUGACAUAUAUAGACAAAAAAUAGACUCCCCCUUGAGCUUUGGUAGGUGAAAGGGAAAGUCUAUCCUGAACAUCCUAUUCGAUUGGCCAGCCCCUUGAAGGGCCUCAUUGUACAUUGCCGGGAUGUUAGCGCAUCCUAG